rnacentral:rRNA from 1 species
CCUACGGGUGGCAGCAGUGAGGAAUAUUGGUCAAUGGACGAAAGUCUGAACCAGCCAAGUCGCGUGAGGGAUGACUGCUCUAUGGGUUGUAAACUUCUUUUAUAAGGGAAUAAAACGCGGCACGUGUGCCUUUUUGCAUGUACUUUAUGAAUAAGGAUCGGCUAACUCCGUGCCAGCAGCCGCGGUAAUACGGAGGAGCCGAGCGUUAUGCGGAUUUAUUGGGUUUAAGGGGUGCGUAGACGGGUUGUUAAGUCAGUUGUGAAAGUUUGCGGCUCAACCGUAAAAUUGCAGUUGAUACUGGCAGUCUUGAGUACAGGUGAGGUAGGCGGAAUUCGUGGUGUAGCGGUGAAAUGCUUAGAUAUCACGAAGAACCCCGAUUGCGAAGGCAGCUUACUAAACUGUGACUGACAUUGAUGCUCGAAAGUGUGGGUAUCAAACAGGAUUAGAUACCCUAGUAGUC